ACGAACGCUGGCGGCGUGCUUAACCCCUGCCAGUCGAACGGUGAAGCCCCUUCCUUUUGGUGGGUGUGGAUGAGUGGCGAACGGGUGAGUAACACGUGAGUAACCUGCCCCCUUCUUCUGGAUAACCGCAUGAAAGUGUGGCUAAUACGGGAUAUUCUGGGUCUGUCGCAUGGCGGGCCUGGGAAAGAUAUUGUUUCGGUGGGGGAUGGGCUCGCGGUCUAUCAGCUUGUUGGUGGGGUGAUGGCCUACCAAGGCGGUGACGGGUAGCCGGCCUGAGAGGGUGGACGGUCACACUGGGACUGAGACACGGCCCAGACUCCUACGGGAGGCAGCAGUGGGGAAUAGUGCACAAUGGGCGCAAGCCUGAUGCAGCGACGCCGCGUGAGGGAUGGAGGCCUUCGGGUUGUAAACCUCUUUCGCCAGUGAAGCAGGCCUGUCCCUUUUGUGGGUGGGUUGACGGUAGCUGGAUAAGAAGCGCCGGCUAACUACGUG
rnacentral:rRNA from 1 species